CUUUAGGGUCUUGUAAUCGGAAUGAGUACAAUUUAAAUCCCUUAGCGAGGAACAAUUAGAGGGCAAGUCUGGUGCCAGCAGCCGCGGUAAUUCCAGCUCUAAUAGCGUAUAUUAAAGUUGUUGUGGUUAAAAAGCUCGUAGUUGAACCUGGGCCCCGCGCCGGCCGGUCCGCCUCACCGCGUGCACUGGUUCGGCCGGGGCUUUCGCCUGGGGAACCUCGUGCCCUUCACUGGGCGUGGGCGGAACCAGGACGUUUACUGUGAAAAAAUUAGAGUGUUCAAAGCAGGCCUAUGCUCGGAUACAUUAGCAUGGAAUAAUAAAAUAGGACGUGCGGUUCUAUUUUGUUGUUAUGGGACCGCCGUAAUGAUUAAUAGGGACAGUCGGGGGCAUCAGUAUUCGGUAGUCAGAGGUGAAAUUCUUGGACCUACCGAAGACUAACUACUGCGAAAGCAUUUGCCAAGGAUGUUUUCAUUAAUCAGGAACGAAAGUUAGGGGAUCGAAAACGAUCAGAUACCGUUGUAGUCUUAACCAUAAACUAUGCCGAUUAGGGAUCGGACGGUGCUACUUACUGGCCCGUUCGGCACCUUUCGAGAAAUCAAAAUGUGUGGGUUCCUGGGGAAGUAUGGUGGCAACGCUGAAACUUAAAGAAAUUGACGGAAGGGCACCACCAGGGGUGGAGCCUGCGGCUUAAUUUGACCCAACACGGGGAAACUCACCAGGUCCAGACACAAUGAGGAUUGACAGAUUGAGAGCUCUUUCUUGAUUUUGUGGACGGUGGUGCAUGGCCGUUCUUAGUUGGUGGAGUGAUUUGUCUGCUUAAUUGCGAUAACGAACGAGACCUUAACCUGCUAAAUAGCCCACGUUGCUUCUGCAGCGCGCCGGCUUCUUAGAGGGACUAUCGGCUCAAGCCGAUGGAAGUUUGAGGCAAUAACAGGUCUGUGAUGCCCUUAGAUGUUCUGGGCCGCACGCGCGCUACACUGACAGGGCCAGCGAGUUCUUUCCUUGGCCGAAAGGCCCGGGUAAUCUUGUUAAACCCUGUCGUGCUGGGGAUAGAGCAUUGCAAUUAUUGCUCUUCAACGAGGAAUCCCUAGUAGGCGCAAGUCAUCAGCUUGCGUCGACUACGUCCCUGCCCUUUGUACACACCGCCCGUCGCUACUACCGAUUGAACGGCUUAGUGAGGCUUUCGGACUGGCCCGGGGAGGUCGACAACGACCACCUCGGGCCGGAAAGCUAUCCAAACUUGGUCGUUUAGAGGAAGUAAAAGUCGUAACAAGGU
rnacentral:rRNA from 1 species